rnacentral:tRNA from 1 species
GGACUCGCUGGAGCGGGCGGGCCGGGUGCGGGCGCUGCUGCGGGCGGUGCGCGGGGCGUCGGCGUUCCGGAGGCUGUCGGGUCUG